GCUCGGGAGUACCGUAGCACGGCGAGUGAGCGGGAAGAGCUCAAAUUUGAAAUCUGGUAGCCUUCGGUUGCCCGAGUUGUAAUCUAGAGAAAUGUUUUCCGUGCCGGCCCAUGUACAAGUCCCUUGGAACAGGGCGUCAUAGAGGGUGAGAAUCCCGUCCUUGACAUGGACCCCCGGUGCUUUGUGAUACAUUUUCAACGAGUCGAGUUGUUUGGGAAUGCAGCUCAAAAUGGGUGGUGAAUUCCAUCUAAAGCUAAAUAUUGGCGAGAGACCGAUAGCGAACAAGUACCGUGAGGGAAAGAUGAAAAGCACUUUGGAAAGAGAGUUAAACAGUACGUGAAAUUGUUGAAAGGGAAACGAUUGAAGUCAGUCAUGCUCUUUGGUAUUUAUAUCAUUGAGUGGGGUCAACAUCAGUUUUGAUCGAUGGAUAAAGGCACUAGGAAGGUAGCACUCUCGGGUGAACUUAUAGCCUAGCGUCAUAUACAUUGAUUGGGACUGAGGAACGCAGCAUGCCUUUAUGGCCGGGAUUCGUCCACGUACAUGCUUAGGAUGUUGACAUAAUGGCUUUAAACGACCCGUCUUGAAACACGGACCAA
rnacentral:rRNA from 1 species